rnacentral:rRNA from 1 species
GAUGAACGCUGGCGGCGUGCCUAAUACAUGCAAGUCGAGCGAACAGACGAGGAGCUUGCUCCUCUGACGUUAGCGGCGGACGGGUGAGUAACACGUGGAUAACCUACCUAUAAGACUGGGAUAACUUCGGGAAACCGGAGCUAAUACCGGAUAAUAUAUUGAACCGCAUGGUUCAAUAGUGAAAGACGGUUUUGCUGUCACUUAUAGAUGGAUCCGCGCCGCAUUAGCUAGUUGGUAAGGUAACGGCUUACCAAGGCAACGAUGCGUAGCCGACCUGAGAGGGUGAUCGGCCACACUGGAACUGAGACACGGUCCAGACUCCUACGGGAGGCAGCAGUAGGGAAUCUUCCGCAAUGGGCGAAAGCCUGACGGAGCAACGCCGCGUGAGUGAUGAAGGUCUUCGGAUCGUAAAACUCUGUUAUUAGGGAAGAACAAAUGUGUAAGUAACUAUGCACGUCUGGACGGUACCUAAUCAGAAGGCCACGGCUAGCUACGUG